rnacentral:rRNA from 1 species
ACACGUAAGGGGCAAGCGUUGUUCGGAAUUAUUGGGCGUAAAGGGUGCGCAGGCGGUUAUCAUAGCCUGAUGUGAAAGACUCCAGCUCAACUGGGGGAAUGCAUUGGGAACUGGGUAACUUGAGUAUAAGAGGGGGAGUUGGAAUUCCAGGUGUAGGGGUGAAAUCUGUAGAUAUCUGGAAGAACACCGGUGGCGAAGGCGAACUCCUGGCUAUAUACUGACGCUGAGGCACGAAAGCGUGGGGAGCGAACAGGAUUAGAUACCCUGGUAGUCCACGCCGUAAACGAUGUACACUAGGAGGUGGGCAGCAGUAUUCAUGUCCGAAGCUAACGCGAUAAGUGUACCGCCUGGGGAGUAUGCUCGCAAGGGUGAA